UGCUCAACAUUUUGAAAAAAAAUUAAAUUAAAUUAAAUUAAAAAAUUAAAAAAAAAGGUAGUUCAUUAUUGAUUUAUAUUUAUUGACUAACAUUCAACCUACAAGUGAAGGCUGGCAAAAGGGAUUGAAAUCGUGUAAAGCUAACAAACAGCUUUGAAUUUCAGAUGAGUGGAAUGAUUUUUUGUUCGUCAGAAAAAACCUUUCAAGAGAGGAAAUUGAAAAAAAGGAUUAACCCGAAAACAAUCAAAAAAGUUGCUUUGAUUUCAAUAGAAAAGCAAAGGAGAAAAUGAAAGCACAAUCACGGUUGAAAGCGAAAUCAUUGAGAUGUGGAACUAUCCAUAGAUAGUAUCGAGCAUCGAUCAAAGAAGAUUGAAAUCAAGCUAAGCAGAUAAGAACGCAAAAGCCGAAAGAUUAUAGGAAUUUUUUUUUUUCCGUUUCACAAACCAUCCCUCACUCUCCAUUACCCAUUUCCCUUAAAGCACAUGUUCCCCAAUGCGCGGCGCGCCACCUCUCCAGUCAUUCCGCUCAUAGUAGCGGAAGACAAGAUCAUACCCAUCCAAAUCAUGCACGAUGCGAUCAACACGACGGUAGCCAGGGAUCCGCUCCAUCUUCUCAUCGCGAACAGCCGCGUUUUGGUUGCGUUUCAGCUGCCGCUGAUCGCCAUGCGACUGGUGGCUUUCGCCAUUUGCAUUCCUGUUGGAAGCAGAUACAGCACCAUUGACAUCGUUAGUAUUAUCGGUACUGUUAUUGUUGGUAGCAUUGGUAUCAGGCCGCUUCUUAGCCUCAAACAGUGUCACGCUGAAACGACCCGGUUUGAAAAUGUCCACGACAUGCUCGACGAUUUCGGAGGCUCCGCGCCCGCUUUGGAGUUGGGGAACGUUAGUUUCGAAGGAGGCGUAGGAGCAGUGGGGUUCCGGGGUCACAUGGACGGUGAAGUAAUGGGAGCCGGAGAUGGGCUUGGAUGUUUCGUUCGUGUCGGAAGGGGGAGCCGGUACGACACCGUUUGCGGAGAAUCCGCACGGCGUGAAUAGAUACGCAUCGACGCGUGCACCAGGGUAUUUGCUUGUUGGAUAGAUGUCGGAGAGACCGCAUGAUUCAGCAACGACGGUUCCAAGACCGUGGCCUUCUGUGGUGAGUUCGGGAGGCAAGGAUUGUUGAUCCAUAUCUGAGCCCAGGUCAUCGCUUGAGUCGGAGGUGUUGCUGAAUACAUCUAGAUGUUCAUCAUCCUGGUUGAUGUUGUUUUUAGCUUGACGCUGGUAUUUAUACCGAUGAUGGCCUUCUGUUGCGACCGCACUCGCAUGGUCGAGGUAGAAUUGCUUAGCAUUCUCCUCGUCCAGGUCAGUCAUCAGUAUUUCGAGAGUCUCGUCAUCCUCCUCUUGUUCCUGAGUUGAAUUCGCAGCAGAGGUGGCAAUUGUCUUGGGGUGCUCGGGGAAGUCAAGGACCUUCACAGCGGUAUCAUUGCUUGGCGUAGAAGGUGGGGUCAACACAGUAUACGGCUCCGUCAGAUAGAGGUACCAAUGUUCUCCAUUCAUUUUGCCAAUCAUGUAUGCGCUGCCUCCAAGGAAUAGCUGGUCCAUUGCCUUAACCUCAUCGCGCCAGCUACGAUGGGGACCGCGCUGGCGAUCAGGGAACAAAAAGUUUUUUCUACUAUAGAAGACGCGGUACGGAGCAGCCGCAGUUUUGAUCCCAAGAGAAGCAGGGGCGGUGUUUUUGGGGAAACCAGCGUACAAGGCCGCAAUCUCGAGGAUGCGAGGCAAUCCAGACAGUAGGGUAGUGGUUCCACAGGUUUUGAGAAUGAGCUUGUGGGGGAAUACAAACAUGCU
rnacentral:sRNA from 1 species